UGCCGUGUAGCUCAGCGGCCAGAGCAGCUGCCUUACAAGCAGCAGCGCGUCGGUUCGAAUCCGACCACGGCAA
rnacentral:tRNA from 1 species